rnacentral:rRNA from 1 species
AUUGAACGCUGGCGGCAGGCCUAACACAUGCAAGUCGAGCGGAUGACGGGAGCUUGCUCCUUGAUUCAGCGGCGGACGGGUGAGUAAUGCCUAGGAAUCUGCCUGGUAGUGGGGGACAACGUUUCGAAAGGAACGCUAAUACCGCAUACGUCCUACGGGAGAAAGCAGGGGACCUUCGGGCCUUGCGCUAUCAGAUGAGCCUAGGUCGGAUUAGCUAGUUGGUGGGGUAAUGGCUCACCAAGGCGACGAUCCGUAACUGGUCUGAGAGGAUGCUCAGUCACACUGGAACGGAGACACGGUCCAGACUCCUACGGGAGGCAGCAGUGGGGAAUAUUGGACAAUGGGCGAAAGCCUGAUCCAGCCAUGCCGCGUGUGUGAAGAAGGUCUUCGGAUUGUAAAGCACUUUAAGUUGGGAGGAAGGGCAGUAAGCUAAUACCUUGCUGUUUUGACGUUACCGACAGAAUAAGCACCGGCUAACUCUGUGCCAGCCGCCGCAGUAA